CCUACGGGAGGCAGCAGUGAGGAAUAUUGGUCAAUGGGCGAGAGCCUGAACCAGCCAAGUCGCGUGAAGGAUGAAGGAUCUAUGGUUUGUAAACUUCUUUUAUAUGGGAAUAAAGUGAGGAACGUGUUCCUUUUUGUAUGUACCAUAUGAAUAAGCAUCGGCUAACUCCGUGCCAGCAGCCGCGGUAAUACGGAGGAUGCGAGCGUUAUCCGGAUUUAUUGGGUUUAAAGGGUGCGUAGGUGGUUAAUUAAGUCAGCGGUGAAAGUUUGUGGCUCAACCAUAAAAUUGCCGUUGAAACUGGUUGCCUUUAGUAUAUUUGCGGUAGGCGGAAUGCGUGGUGUAGCGGUGCACUGCAUAGAUAUCACGCAGAACUCCGAUUGCGAAGGCAGCUUACUAAACUAUAACUGCCACUGACGCACGAAAGCGUGGGGAUCAAACAGGAUUAGAUACCCGGGUAGUC
rnacentral:rRNA from 1 species